GUCUGAGACAGCUCUCUGUGUAUUGGAAUCUACAUAAAGAAUGCACCGGAGUGUCAGCAGGAAGAUCUCGCAGACAGUUGAAAACAAAUCCUCCAAUCAGGGACCUGUGAGGACACAAGAUACACUGUUUGCGUACCUGUUUCCGUUGUAACAUACCACCAUGGAAGCAGAACCAAAGUCAUCAUCACCACAGAAGCCUGGAGUGAAGGGUCGUUCCAAAUCAACAGAAGAAAUCCAACCAGCAAAAAAGGCUUUUCACACAACACAGAAGUCUCUCCCAAGUACAGGAGAAGUUACCCAUGAUCAGGAGUCUAGAGAUGCCAUAGAUGACCUUUCCUCAAAAGAACAAAAAGCUGAAGAUCCCCAUCCUCAUUGACAUGACGCAACGUCUGUCAGGAAAACAGGCAAAGAAGCAAUCCCCUCUCCUGUUAAAUAAUAUUCUCGUUCAAUCACUCUUUGAUUUCAGUGUUUGUAUGUAUCUUUCUUGUACCUUUAUAUAUAUAUAUAUAUAUGGGUGUGUAUGUUGUUUUGCCUAAAUGUGAGUCCUUUGCCAUAUGUUAGAAAAUUCUGAAGAACCAAAAGGCUACAUUUACAAUGCCCCACUAGAUGUCUUGCUUGUAGUUUGGUGUCAGUGGAGGGGGAACAGACUGUGCUGUUAUUUAUAACAUCUUAAUAUUGAGGACAUGUCUGAGUAUUUUACAUCUCAUGUCAGUUUUCCUUGGGGAAAAUGUGCCACUCCGGUUUAAACCCACCCAUUUGCACACACAAUGCCAAGCCAACUUACUAAGAGUUGCCUAUAAAAGGAAACUUGCCUCAAAUGCAGACAUCAUACCUUCUGUUCUAGGAUGUUAUUUGACCUUUGUAAUGGUGCAUUAUUAAUAAAAUGGA